ACAAAAGCACCCACACACACACACACACACACUUACGCACUUAUCAAUAGUACAUGAGUGUUGGACCCCUACCAUCACAAAACACAUUUCAAAUGUGUGAGGAGUGUUUGAGUGACUCACUCAGGCAUGUGUUUUUCGUGAAGUCAUGCAGGAAGUUCAC